UAAUUAAUUUUUCUACACAUCCUAUAACCGUGAUCGCUCUGCUACUAAAUUGAAACAACCCAUCCCAAUUUUUUUUACAACCGUUAGCUAGUGAUCCCAU
rnacentral:sRNA from 1 species